UUUUAUGGAGAGUUUGAUCCUGGCUCAGGAUGAACGCUGGCGGCGUGCCUAAUACAUGCAAGUCGAGCGAACGGACGAGAAGCUUGCUUCUCUGAUGUUAGCGGCGGACGGGUGAGUAACACGUGGAUAACCUACCUAUAAGACUGGGAUAACUUCGGGAAACCGGAGCUAAUACCGGAUAAUAUUUUGAACCGCAUGGUUCAAAAGUGAAAGACGGUCUUGCUGUCACUUAUAGAUGGAUCCGCGCUGCAUUAGCUAGUUGGUAAGGUAACGGCUUACCAAGGGAACGAUGCAU
rnacentral:rRNA from 1 species